rnacentral:rRNA from 1 species
GACGAACGCUGGCGGCGUGCUUAACACAUGCAAGUCGAACGGUGAAGCGCCUUCCUUUUUGGGGGGUGUGGUUGCGUGGCGAACGGGAGAGUAACACGUGAGUAACCUGCCCCCUUCUUCUGGAUAACCGCAUGAAAGUGUAUCUAAUACGGGAGAUCCUGCGGCUUGCGCAUGGUUGGUCUGGUAAGGAGAUUGUUUAGGUGGGGGAUGCGCUCGCGGCCUUUCAGCUUGUUGGGGUGGUGAUGGGCUAGGAAGGCGGUGAGGUUUAGCAGGCCUGGGAGGGUAGCCGGCCACACGGGGUCGCCGGCCCGGCCGAGACUCCUACGGGAGCCAGCAGCGGGGAAUAUGGCACAAUGGGGGAUAGUGUGAUGCAGCGACGCCGCGGGAGGGAUGGAGGCCCUCGGGUUGUGACCGUCUUUCGCCAGUGAAGCGGGCCUGCCUCGUUUGUGGCUGGGUUGACGGUAACUGGCAAAGAAGCGCCGGCUAACUACGUG